UGUCCUUUGUCACCAGCAGCCCCCACCCCUUCCUUGGGAGGGAAACAGCAGAAGGGGACAGCGGAAGAUAAAAAAGUAAAGCAUGUGUGACAGGAAUAAGCCAGAUCAGCCGGAGGUGUGAUGUUUAGCCGAGAAAUCAGUAGAAAAGCUCGGGUAGCACAGCCCGGGCGCUGCAGAGCCAGAGCACCGGCGGCGAGCACGAAGGAAUUCUGACAUGGAAAUUUGAGGAAACAACGAGAAGGGAACUUGAGAAAACAACAGCUCAGCGUCUGAAUUCGUUCCUACUGUAAAAUGCAGGGGUUGGCAUGGGACAAGCUUAGAUCAUCCUUCACUUCAUCCCUUCACUGCGGCCAAAGUAAGGUUGGAGUGGACUGAAUAAAGGAAAUACUGUCAGUGCUGCCUUUUCCUUCAAGCAGAACAAACACUACUGAAACAAGAGGAGAAACCCUUCAGUCUGAGGCAAGGAGCAAGCUGGGAACAGCUAGACUGCAGCACUCACAGUCAUUUGGAAAGCCAGCCUUAAUCAUUUGAGGUGGAAACUGAACAGGAAAAUAAGGCAUUUUCUCAAAACAACUCCUCAACCCUGUAAUAAGGGGAAAAGGCUCAAGGGAUGAAGGACAUCUUACCCAGGAGCACAGGAAAGGUCGGAACAGCAUCCAGCUGGAAUCUAACCUGCCUUGAACACACUUCUGCCUGUGCUCAAAGAAACAAACUCCUUCAAUAUAGCAAAUACAAUUACAUCCUGCUGCACCCUUCCAUCAUCACAGAAGCAAAUAAAACAAUGGACACUUCUCAUGUUGGACUUCGGCAAAAGACAUUUAUUAUUAUUAUUACUGUUGUUGUUGUGUUGCUGUUGUACCUCCUCUGCUCUGCCCACAGUGGUGGCAUAAAUGCUGUUACCACAUUGUAGCUGAUGAUGCCGGUGUACAAAUCAAAAUCCAUCUUAAUUUCAAACUCCAUUAGAAACACAGGAAAAAAGAUCAACAUUUACGAAAUGUAAAGGGAAAAAUGGUAUGGAAAGAAAUUUUUUUUUUUUAUUUUUCAAGCUUCCAAGACAGUAUUACAAACAACAGAGAGCAAAGUAAAGCUAGAAAUGAAAUACUUGACAGCAUCUGUUUAAAAAUUACAGCUAAGAAACCUAAUAAAAGUUGAAUAAACAGUUACUAGAAAUAAAAAUUUUUACACAUAUGAUAUUUGUCUGGGAUUUUUAUUUCUUUAAAAUAAUUCAUACAAAUGGUUACAGUCACAAACAUGAUUUUAACCAAAAAUAUUGCUAGCCUACCACAUUACCAGGAAGGAAUCAAUGUAGGCAAUGAAAUGCUGCUACUUUUCAGUAGUCUAGUGCCUUUUCCAGAUACCACCAAUAAUAUAUACUUUAACUGGUGACAAAAAGCACAAUGCUCGUUUAUACAAAACCUCUUUUUUCCUCAAAAUCUCUUUGCAAGGUUGUCUUCAUUUUGAAAUAAGGGAAUUCAUGCCAAAAUUAGGAGAAACUGUUUUUCUUUUGUUUACUAAAUUAUUCUAAAAAAUAAGACAAGCAGGUAGAAAAAACAAUGCACUGUGUGGCGUAGAAAGAAAAAUGGGAAAAAUUCAUUGUCCUGAGAAGUUUGCCAACUGCCUCUUUUUUGGGCAUGUUUGAAAAUAUAAAAGAAAGGAUUUUUAAUCUCAAAACUGGUUUGUUGAAUGCCUCCCUUAUGUUUUUCCUUGUUGACAGCUAAGCAAACAAACCCUUUUUAAUGUUCUAGAAACUGUACACAGACAAGUACAUUCAUGAUAUAAUUAACUACUAACUUCUCUUGCUUAACAAAGAACCCAUAGGACACAGAAACAGUGAAUCAGUCCACUGGACAGGGACAAACUACAAUUUAUACGGA